GACGAAGGAUGCAAGCGUUAUCCGGAUUCAUUGGGUUUAAAGGGAGCGUAGGUGGGUUUGUAAGUCAGUGGUGAAAGCCGGUCGCUUAACGAUCGAAUUGCCAUUGAUACUGCAGACCUUGAGUACAGAUGCUGUGGGCGGAAUAUGACAUGUAGUGGUGAAAUACAUAGAGAUGUCAUAGAACACCGAUUGCGAAGGCAGCUCACAAAACUGUAACUGACACUGAGGCUCGAAAGUGCGGGGAUCAAACAGGAUUAGAUACCCUGGUAGUCCGCACUGUAAACGAUGAUUACUCGCUGCUGGGAGGUAACUUUCAGUGGCUUAGCGAAAGCGAUAAGUAAUCCACCUGGGGAGUACGCCGGCAACGGUGAA
rnacentral:rRNA from 1 species